CUCUCUCUCUCUCUCUCUCUCUCUCUCUCUCUCUGUGUGACUGCGCAUGUGCGGAGCGAUUGGGAGGAUUGCGUGAGUGUUUGAGCGAGUGGCGGCUUGUUUGAUGCAGCGAGCGGUGGAUUUGAGACCGUUGCUGCGGGAAACGAUGACUCACUCCCCAGAGAGCCAGGUGAGCUUGUGGGAGUUGGAGUGUUUCGAGACUCUCAAGCACCUUUUGGUCUGUCACAGGAUGAUGUGGAUCAGCUUUCUGAAAGAGUUUACAACAGCUCUGCCUCUGCAUCACGUCUGCUGAACCCGUCUGCUGAACCUUUGGCCAGUGCGGUGGGCCGAAAUGACUUCCUCCUUAACAUGUUCUGCUGAGAGUGGAGUCUGAACCGUUUCACUGCAACUAUGCACACGACAUGCACAGAGCUCGAGUCUAUUCACUUCUCUACCUGUUGUGAAAAUCACAAGCCUCUUCCAGUUGCUCAGUACUGUCCGUUUCAUUUGAUUCUGCAUUCAGUCGCUGCCCAAAGGUUCAUCGCUAUUGAGCCAUACUGCGUCACAGAGCGCGACGGGCCUCUUUUCUCACUCAAAGGAUGACAAACCGAGAUCUACACAUCGUACAGCACAAACCCUGUACUGCUUUAACAGUUGUUAUACAGUCAAACGCACAAAAAUGUUUCUGUUGUGUCAGGUCCCUGGAUGAUAAGAGUAAUCUUUAAUAAAGACUUCUGUUUUGUGUGUGUUUCUGA